rnacentral:rRNA from 1 species
CCUAUACAUGCAAGUCGAGCGAAUGGAUUAAGAGCUUGCUCUUAUGAAGUUAGCGCCCCCCUUAAAAGAGUAACACGUGGGUAACCUGCCCAUCCCCCCUGAAAAUAACUCCGGGAAACCGGGGCUAAUACCGGAUAACAUUUUGAACCGCAUGGUUCGAAAUUGAAAGGCGGCUUCGGCUGUCACUUAUGGAUGGACCCGCGUCGCAUUAGCUAGUUGGUGAGGUAACGGCUCACCAAGGCAACGAUGCGUAGCCGACCUGAGAGGGUGAUCGGCCACACUGGGACUGAGACACGGCCCAGACUCCUACGGGAGGCAGCAGUAGGGAAUCUUCCGCAAUGGACGAAAGUCUGACGGAGCAACGCCGCGUGAGUGAUGAAGGCUUUCGGGUCGUAAAACUCUGUUGUUAGGGAAGAACAAGUGCUAGUUGAAUAAGCUGGCACCUUGACGGUACCUAACCAGAAAGCCACGGCUAACUACGUGCCAGCAGCCGCGGUAAUACGUAGGUGGCAAGCGUUAUCCGGAAUUAUUGGGCGUAAAGCGCGCGCAGGUGGUUUCUUAAGUCUGAUGUGAAAGCCCACGGCUCAACCGUGGAGGGUCAUUGGAAACUGGGAGACUUGAGUGCAGAAGAGGAAAGUGGAAUUCCAUGUGUAGCGGUGAAAUGCGUAGAGAUAUGGAGGAACACCAGUGGCGAAGGCGACUUUCUGGUCUGUAACUGACACUGAGGCGCGAGUUUAGGAAGGAAUGCUC